GACGAACGCUGGCGGCGUGCCUAACACAUGCAAGUCGAGCGGAGACGGCAGCAAUGUUGUCUUAGCGGCGGACGGGUGAGUAACACGUGGGCAACCUGCCUCUAUCCGGGGGAUAACAUCGGGAAACCGGUGCUAAUACCGCAUAACAUCGCAGCACCGCAUGGUGUCGCGAUCAAAGGAGUGAUCCGGGAAGAGAUGGGCCCGNGUCCGAUUAGAUAGUUGGUGGGGUAACGGCCUACCAAGUCUGCGAUCGGUAGCCGGACUGAGAGGUUGAUCGGCCACAUUGGGACUGAGAUACGGCCCAGACUCCUACGGGGGGCAGCAGUGGGGAAUAUUGGACAAUGGGCGAAAGCCUGAUCCAGCAAUGCCGCGUGAGUGAUGAAGGCCUUAGGGUUGUAAAGCUCUUUUACCCGGGAUGAUAAUGACAGUACCGGGA
rnacentral:rRNA from 1 species